UACGUAGGUGGCAAGCGUUGUCCGGAUUUAUUGGGUUUAAAGGGUGCGUAGGCGGUCUAUUAAGUCAGUGGUGAAAUACUCCAGCUUAACUGGAGGGGUGCCAUUGAUACUGAUGGACUUGAGUGAAGUCGAGGUAGGCGGAAUUGACGGUGUAGCGGUGAAAUGCUUAGAUAUGACAUAGAACACCAAUUGCGAAGGCAGCUGGCUACACAAAUAUUGACACUGAGGCACGAAAGCGUGGGGAUCAAACAGG
rnacentral:rRNA from 1 species